rnacentral:rRNA from 1 species
GAUGAACGCUAGCGGCAGGCUUAACACAUGCAAGUCGAGGGGUAUAGGGAGCUUGCUUCCUAGAGACCGGCGCACGGGUGCGUAACGCGUAUGCAAUCUACCUUUUGCAGAGGAUAGCCCAGAGAAAUUUGGAUUAAUACCUCAUAGUAUAGCAGUUUCGCAUGAAACCACUAUUAAAGUCACAACGGCAAAAGAAUGAGCAUGCGUCCCAUUAGCUUGUUGGUAAGGUAACGGCUUACCAAGGCAACGAUGGGUAGGGGUCCGUGAGAGGGAGAUCCCCCACACUGGUACGU